rnacentral:lncRNA from 1 species
CUGACCUGCUCCUCAUCUGAGCUGUGAUUUACACCGCUGUUGUGUCCGUGUCUCUGAGCGAGAGGACUGACAGUGGCCAUUACUGAACCCUAAACGCACCACAACCCCAGCGGAGAGAAGCCAGCUGAUUACAGACCAGUUGCAAUUUUUUUCUCUGGAAAAAAGCUUGGAAACUCUCAAUAGUUCCAGGAAAACUCUUUACAUUCUCACCAGAGGAGGGGUGUGGGGUCUAUCCCACCAUCACCCACCCCGCUUUCAUCACACCCAGCCCCCUCAGAGGAGUCCAGAUCGGGCAGAACCAGGUCCUCGGGAGCAGAGCGUGUUAUACGUGUAAAAAGCUCUGACACAAAUUCAGCGCCACGGCUUUCAUCAUCACGGGCAGGGCACGUUGUGUUUGUGCACGUGUGCACGAGUGUACGAGCGGCACGUCUUCUUCCACAAUGUGACUGUGAAAUGACUAGGUCAUGCAAAAUUAAAGAAGAGAAAGCAAGCAAGAAUAUUAUGAGGUAAAAUGUUUAUUGAG